UUCAUAUUUCUCUUGACAUGCAGCAUGUCCACAUCAUCAUCCAUGUCCCACACAUUGCACCUCCCAAUACCUGAUUUUUCUGACCUCUGGUAAAGCCACGUCAACACACAUCAUUGUUUAUAAUUUCGAAGAAAUUAAGACGGAGGUCUGGCUGCGGCGCUACGCCCUGUCACCUCCCCAAUUAAUUCCCCCAUUUCCUACUGUGUCAAUUCCUCUUCAUCUUCUCCAUAACAUAAAUGGAGGAGUAACAGAUGGAGUUCUUCUCCCCUUUAAGCGAUGCAACCGCAGAGCAAUAGGGAGCCCUUCUGCUUGAGGGGAUUGUCACCUGCUGGUACAGGUCUUGAGGAGGCGCUGGGUGGAAGCUCCUAGAAACAGCUGGCCGUCGGUUGGAGACGACGCCUCCGUCAUGCAGCCACCGCCCACGGCGUCGCCCUACUCCUAACUAGCCAUCGGCAACUGCCCGUGCGGCCGGCUCCGCCAUUCCCGCGUUCAUCAAGGGCUUCACUACAUGGUACGCCUUUCUAUCUCACGCGCCUCACCUCCCUACCUCGGUAUGAGCCACCGGCUGAUCUGGCCUCUCCGUCACACGGUUCAUGCACGCGUAGAUAGAAAGAGAACCGAUGUGCCACCGUGUCGUCCCUGCAUCUUGAUGCCAACGCCCAGCUGUGGUGCCCGUCGACUGAACCAAGGAACGCGACAUGGCACUCGGCCUCCCUGUGUGAUGCCCGCACCAAAACGUCAGAGAGAAGCGUUUGCCGUUGUGUUCGCUGCGACUCCUCCUCUGUCAGUGAUGCAACAGCUGGAUCCGCACACGGAGAGAGCCUGCACCUGGGGCGGCAACGGCACCAUGGCUGAUGACAACGCAGGGAUGCUCCACCUCUCUCUGCUAGAUGACCUGACGAACGUGAUGAACAGAAAACAAAGCCAUCAAUUAGAUUGGGUCCAACCAAGAUGAGGGUAUUCAGGUCAUUUCAUAUGUAUUUUCUUGGCUGAAGAAUUUAGAAACUGAUUGAAACAAGGGCAAAUGAACAAGAAACCAGAAUAAUGUGUGUCAAACAUCCAAUCCCACGUGAAGCUAUAUGUCCACCUUCCCCGGCACAAGCCAUCUCAUUACCUCAAGGUUUCAUUAUGGGCCAACAUCGACAUCAUAUUUGUAGAUUUCUGUAGGUGUGAAAAGUGGGGAAUAAUGUGCUUAGACCAGUCUGUCAAAUUCAGACGAACCAGGAAAUGGUACCUUAUGGUGUACACAUAUAAUGACCAUAAGAUUUAUUUUUUAACACAAUGGCCGUAAGAGUUUGAUAUGUAGUUCUGAAGAAAGCAGUUCAAUGUGAGACAGAUACUUUCCAUCAAAGGAUAUUUUUAUCAGCCCCUUGAACUUUGUCGAUUGUGCGGUAUGCUACAAUUCAAAGUGAUAAGAUGGCAAUUUAGGUCGCCAUCGGCCUAAAAGAAGGAUUCAGCAGCUCCCUGUUCGCCAUCGCUACCAUAUUUGCUUCUGUGGCAUAGUUCGCUCUUCAUUUUCUAGCUGUUGGAAAUGUUGGAUCUUUUGAUAUUUUUUUUUGGGUCAUCGAUCUGAGGUGUAGUACUUUUUUUGAUAAAUAAUUUGGUAAAUAAACAUCAUUCAGUAC